rnacentral:rRNA from 1 species
UACGUAGGGGGGCAAGCGUUGUCCCGGAAUCAUUGGGCGUAAAGAGCGUGUAGGCGGCCAGAUAAGUCCGCUGUGAAAACUCGAGGCCUCAACUUCGAGCUGUCGGUGGAAACUAUUUGGCUAGAGUCCGGAAGAGGAGAGUGGAAUUCCUAGUGUAGCGGUGAAAUGCGUAGAGAUUAGGAAGAACACCAGUGGCGAAGGCGACUUACUGGACUGUAACUGACGCUGAGGCAUGAAAGCGUGGGGAGCAAACAGG